GGGAUCAUAUGCAGGGCUUGUUGUACAUGCUGGGUUAUGUGUUUACCAGAGUUACAUAUUCCCUUCCUUCCCACCCUCUUCAGACAAGAGUUUGCCAUUUGUAGCACAGGCCACGGUCAAAUUCAUGAUCUGACCCAUCUCCAAGUACUGGGAUUAUGGUUAUGUGCUACCACGUCAAGCAUACUUAUGAUUUCAUAUAAGUAAAUUCUCAUGGAACAUGUGGGUUCUCACUUUACUAAUUUUAUACUUUUCACUUUGCAACAUAAUAGUAUUAUCAAUAUAAAAGCAGGCUUAAUCAUUGUGCAAUUAUCUAAAUAGCACAUUCAAUGUGAGAAAAGAAUCCAAUUACAACCUGAGGGGAAAAACAAGUUAUUGAAAAAUCCUCUUCGGGGAUUUAGCUCAGUGGUAGAGUGCUUGCCUAGCAAGCGUAAGGCCCUAGGUUCUGUCCUCAGCUCCGGGGAAAAAAAAAGAAAAAAGAAAAAUCCUCAUAUAUAUGAAACCUUCAUCUUUAAAAAAAGAGUCAGGAAAAAGUAUCACGGAUCACAAAACCCAUUGCAUUGCUACCACACCACUAUAUGCAGCCUCUAAAGCAGGUAGGGUGGUGGUCUCAACCUGUGGGUCAUAACCCCUUUGUGAUUGUGUUUGUGUAAUGAACUUUUCACGGGGGUUAAAUACUGGAGAUCCACAUUACAAUUCACAACAGUUCGGCAAAAAUAGUUAUGAAUCAGCAAGAAAAAUCUUAUGGUUGAGUGCUCACAACAUAAGUAUUAAAGGUCUGCAGCAUUAGGAAGGUAGGGCUACUUAAAAAACACAAAACAGAGAAAAACAAUUACUGAACCAGGUGUUGUGGUGUGGGUCUUUAAACCCAAAACUUGGGAGGCAAAGGCCAGCCUGGCCUACAGAAUGGAUUCCAGGACAGACUGGUUGUAAAAUGAGACACAGUUUCAGAAACAAAAAAGCCCCCCAAAUAAAAGUAAGAUUUCAGGGUUCUGUGGUUUAUUCCAACUGGACACUAAGAUUAUUCUUAAUACUGUCAAUAGGCAAUUUUGAAUUAAAAAACAACCCCUUGGGUAUCUUUCAAAAUUCUCACUGAGAACUUAUUUUAGAGUGGGCAUGGUAAGCAAAUAGUCAAACUUUGGGAGGAUGAAGCCUGACCACAGGUUUGGGAACAGCCUGACAGAGCACCCAUGAACAAAAAUAUUGAAUUCCACGUUUUUGUUUUUUUUUUAAGACAGAAUCUUUCUGUGUAGUCCAGGCUGUCUAGAACUUAUCUUGUAGACCAGGCUGUUAUUGAACUUUCAGAGAUCUGCCUAUACUAAGAGCAUAUGCCACCACCACCUGGCAUGAAUCCCAUUCUUAAAUCAUGGCAUAGACUAGUGUCUCAGGAACUUCUGCAAUCCUAAAAUUGUUCUAUACCUGGAUUUACUCAGCAGUGAGGAUAUCCCUAAAGUAAAAUUAACACCUGCAUGUAAAAAGUAUAACAGCAUCCUGACAGGUAGAGAGUAAGAAUUCAAUAGUAUAUUCAACUUAUUGGUAGCACUACUCUAAUCAUUAAGGUACUUAAAAAAAAAAAGAAAAAGACGCAUACAUAAGGCCAGAUGUGGUGGUGCAUGGCUUUAAACCCAGGGCUCUACAGGCAGAGGCAGGCAGAUGUGAGUUUAAAAAUAGCCUGGUCUAUAUAGUGAGUUCCAGGCCUGCUAAACCUCCACAGUGAAACCUUGUCUCAAAUGGUGUUUCUUGUUAAUUCUUUAUUUCUGUUUAUGCCCCUUCCUCCAAAAUAUCUAGUCAGUAAUCUCUUACAAAUCUUAAACUGCUUAAAA